UACGUAGGGACCAAGCGUUGUCCGGAAUCAUUGGGCGUAAAGGGUGUGUAGGUGGCGCCGUAAGUCGGGUGUGAAAUUUCGGAGCUUAACUCCGAAACUGCAUUCGAUACUGCGGUGCUUGAGGACUGGAGAGGAGACUGGAAUUCCUGGUGUAGCGGUGAAAUGCGCAGAUAUCAGGAGGAACACCGGUGGCGAAGGCGGGUCUCUGGGCCGAUACUGACGCUGAGGAGCGAAAGCGUGGGGAGCGAACAGG
rnacentral:rRNA from 1 species